rnacentral:tRNA from 1 species
GGCGUGAUAGCCAAUCGGUUAGGCAGAGGACUGCAAAUCCUUUCAGAGCGGUUCGACUCCGCUUCACGCCUCCA